rnacentral:rRNA from 1 species
UUAAGCGACUAAGCGUACACGGUGGAUGCCCUGGCAGUCAGAGGCGAUGAAGGACGUGCUAAUCUGCGAUAAGCGUCGGUAAGGUGAUAUGAACCGUUAUAACCGGCGAUUUCCGAAUGGGGAAACCCAGUGUGUUUCGACACACUAUCAUUAACUGAAUCCAUAGGUUAAUGAGGCGAACCGGGGGAACUGAAACAUCUAAGUACCCCGAGGAAAAGAAAUCAACCGAGAUUCCCCCAGUAGCGGCGAGCGAACGGGGAGGAGCCCAGAGCCUGAAUCAGUGUGUGUGUUAGUGGAAGCGUCUGGAAAGGCGCGCGAUACAGGGUGACAGCCCCGUACACAAAAAUGCACAUGCUGUGAGCUCGAUGAGUAGGGCGGGACACGUGGUAUCCUGUCUGAAUAUGGGGGGACCAUCCUCCAAGGCUAAAUACUCCUGACUGACCGAUAGUGAACCAGUACCGUGAGGGAAAGGCGAAAAGAACCCCGGCGAGGGGAGUGAAAAAGAACCUGAAACCGUGUACGUACAAGCAGUGGGAGCACGCUUAGGCGUGUGACUGCGUACCUUUUGUAUAAUGGGUCAGCGACUUAUAUUCUGUAGCAAGGUUAACCGAAUAGGGGAGCCGAAGGGAAACCGAGUCUUAACUGGGCGUUAAGUUGCAGGGUAUAGACCCGAAACCCGGUGAUCUAGCCAUGGGCAGGUUGAAGGUUGGGUAACACUAACUGGAGGACCGAACCGACUAAUGUUGAAAAAUUAGCGGAUGACUUGUGGCUGGGGGUGAAAGGCCAAUCAAACCGGGAGAUAGCUGGUUCUCCCCGAAAGCUAUUUAGGUAGCGCCUCGUGAAUUCAUCUCCGGGGGUAGAGCACUGUUUCGGCAAGGGGGUCAUCCCGACUUACCAACCCGAUGCAAACUGCGAAUACCGGAGAAUGUUAUCACGGGAGACACACGGCGGGUGCUAACGUCCGUCGUGAAGAGGGAAACAACCCAGACCGCCAGCUAAGGUCCCAAAGUCAUGGUUAAGUGGGAAACGAUGUGGGAAGGCCCAGACAGCCAGGAUGUUGGCUUAGAAGCAGCCAUCAUUUAAAGAAAGCGUAAUAGCUCACUGGUCGAGUCGGCCUGCGCGGAAGAUGUAACGGGGCUAAACCAUGCACCGAAGCUGCGGCAGCGACGCUGAUGCGUUGUUGGGUAGGGGAGCGUUCUGUAAGCCUGCGAAGGUGUGCUGUGAGGCAUGCUGGAGGUAUCAGAAGUGCGAAUGCUGACAUAAGUAACGAUAAAGCGGGUGAAAAGCCCGCUCGCCGGAAGACCAAGGGUUCCUGUCCAACGUUAAUCGGGGCAGGGUGAGUCGACCCCUAAGGCGAGGCCGAAAGGCGUAGUCGAUGGGAAACAGGUUAAUAUUCCUGUACUUGGUGUUACUGCGAAGGGGGGACGGAGAAGGCUAUGUUGGCCGGGCGACGGUUGUCCCGGUUUAAGCGUGUAGGCUGGUUUUCCAGGCAAAUCCGGAAAAUCAAGGCUGAGGCGUGAUGACGAGGCACUACGGUGCUGAAGCAACAAAUGCCCUGCUUCCAGGAAAAGCCUCUAAGCAUCAGGUAACAUCAAAUCGUACCCCAAACCGACACAGGUGGUCAGGUAGAGAAUACCAAGGCGCUUGAGAGAACUCGGGUGAAGGAACUAGGCAAAAUGGUGCCGUAACUUCGGGAGAAGGCACGCUGAUAUGUAGGUGAAGUCCCUUGCGGAUGGAGCUGAAAUCAGUCGAAGAUACCAGCUGGCUGCAACUGUUUAUUAAAAACACAGCACUGUGCAAACACGAAAGUGGACGUAUACGGUGUGACGCCUGCCCGGUGCCGGAAGGUUAAUUGAUGGGGUCAGCGCAAGCGAAGCUCUUGAUCGAAGCCCCGGUAAACGGCGGCCGUAACUAUAACGGUCCUAAGGUAGCGAAAUUCCUUGUCGGGUAAGUUCCGACCUGCACGAAUGGCGUAAUGAUGGCCAGGCUGUCUCCACCCGAGACUCAGUGAAAUUGAACUCGCUGUGAAGAUGCAGUGUACCCGCGGCAAGACGGAAAGACCCCGUGAACCUUUACUAUAGCUUGACACUGAACAUUGAGCCUUGAUGUGUAGGAUAGGUGGGAGGCUU